rnacentral:rRNA from 1 species
AAAUUGAAGAGUUUGAUCAUGGCUCAGAUUGAACGCUGGCGGCAGGCCUAACACAUGCAAGUCGAACGGUAACAGGAAGCAGCUUGCUGCUUCGCUGACGAGUGGCGGACGGGUGAGUAAUGUCUGGGAAACUGCCUGAUGGAGGGGGAUAACUACUGGAAACGGUGGCUAAUACCGCAUAACGUCGCAAGACCAAAGAGGGGGACCUUCGGGCCUCUUGCCAUCAGAUGUGCCCAGAUGGGAUUAGCUAGUUGGUGAGGUAACGGCUCACCAAGGCGACGAUCCCUAGCUGGUCUGAGAGGAUGACCAGCCACACUGGAACUGAGACACGGUCCAGACUCCUACGGGAGGCAGCAGUGGGGAAUAUUGCACAAUGGGCGCAAGCCUGAUGCAGCCAUGCCGCGUGUAUGAAGAAGGCCUUAGGGUUGUAAAGUACUUUCAGCGGGGAGGAAGGUGUUGUGGUUAAUAACCACAGCAAUUGACGUUACCCGCAGAAGAAGCACCGGCUAACUCCGUGCCAGCAGCCGCGGUAAUACGGAGGGUGCAAGCGUUAAUCGGAAUUACUGGGCGUAAAGCGCACGCAGGCGGUCUGUCAAGUCGGAUGUGAAAUCCCCGGGCUCAACCUGGGAACUGCAUUCGAAACUGGCAGGCUUGAGUCUUGUAGAGGGGGGUAGAAUUCCAGGUGUAGCGGUGAAAUGCGUAGAGAUCUGGAGGAAUACCGGUGGCGAAGGCGGCCCCCUGGACAAAGACUGACGCUCAGGUGCGAAAGCGUGGGGAGCAAACAGGAUUAGAUACCCUGGUAGUCCACGCCGUAAACGAUGUCUACUUGGAGGUUGUGCCCUUGAGGCGUGGCUUCCGGAGCUAACGCGUUAAGUAGACCGCCUGGGGAGUACGGCCGCAAGGUUAAAACUCAAAUGAAUUGACGGGGGCCCGCACAAGCGGUGGAGCAUGUGGUUUAAUUCGAUGCAACGCGAAGAACCUUACCUGGUCUUGACAUCCACAGAACUUUCCAGAGAUGGAUUGGUGCCUUCGGGAACUGUGAGACAGGUGCUGCAUGGCUGUCGUCAGCUCGUGUUGUGAAAUGUUGGGUUAAGUCCCGCAACGAGCGCAAC